CCUACGGGUGGCAGCAGUGGGGAAUAUUGCACAAUGGGGGAAACCCUGAUGCAGCGACGCCGCGUGAGUGAAGAAGUAUUUCGGUAUGUAAAGCUCUAUCAGCAGGGAAGAAAAUGACGGUACCUGACUAAGAAGCCCCGGCUAACUACGUGCCAGCAGCCGCGGUAAUACGUAGGGGGCAAGCGUUAUCCGGAUUUACUGGGUGUAAAGGGAGCGCAGACGGCUGUGCAAGUCUGGAGUGAAAGGCGGGGGCCCAACCCCCGGACUGCUCUGGAAACUGUAAAGCUGGAGUGCAGGAGAGGUAAGCGGAAUUCCUAGUGUAGCGGUGAAAUGCGGAGAUAUUAGGAGGAACACCAGUGGCGAAGGCGGCUUACUGGACUGCAACUGACGUUGAGGCUCGAAAGCGUGGGGAGCAAACAGGAUUAGAUACCCUGGUAGUC
rnacentral:rRNA from 1 species